GACGAACGCUGGCGGCGUGCUUAACACAUGCAAGUCGAACGGUAAGGCCCUUCGGGGUACACGAGUGGCGAACGGGUGAGUAACACGUGGGUGAUCUGCCCUGCACUUCGGGAUAAGCCUGGGAAACUGGGUCUAAUACCGGAUAGGACUCCGGACUGCAUGGUCUGGGGUGGAAAGCUUUUGCGGUGUGGGAUGGGCCCGCGGCCUAUCAGCUUGUUGGUGGGGUGAUGGCCUACCAAGGCGACGACGGGUAGCCGGCCUGAGAGGGUGACCGGCCACACUGGGACUGAGAUACGGCCCAGACUCCUACGGGAGGCAGCAGUGGGGAAUAUUGCACAAUGGGCGCAAGCCUGAUGUAGCGACGCCGCGUGAGGGAUGGCGGCCUUCGGGUUGUAAACCUCUUUCAGCAUCGACGAAGCGAAAGUGACGGUAGGUGCAGAAGAAGGACCGGCCAACUACGUGCCAGCCGCCGCAGUAA
rnacentral:rRNA from 1 species